GGGUUGUGAGGUUAAGCGACUAAGCGUACACGGUGGAUGCCCUGGCAGUCAGAGGCGAUGAAGGGCGUGCUAAUCUGCGAUAAGCGCCGGUAAGGUGAUAUGAACCGUUAUAACCGGCGAUACCCGAAUGGGGAAACCCAGUGUGACUCGUCACACUAUCAUUAACUGAAUCCAUAGGUUAAUGAGGCGAACCGGGGGAACUGAAACAUCUAAGUACCCCGAGGAAAAGAAAUCAACCGAGAUUCCCCCAGUAGCGGCGAGCGAACGGGGAGGAGCCCAGAGCCUGAAUCAGCAUGUGUGUUAGUGGAAGCGUCUGGAAAGGCGCGCGAUACAGGGUGACAGCCCCGUACACAAAAGCGCAUGUGCUGUGAGCUCGAUGAGUAGGGCGGGACACGUGGUAUCCUGUCUGAAUAUGGGGGGACCAUCCUCCAAGGCUAAAUACUCCUGACUGACCGAUAGUGAACCAGUACCGUGAGGGAAAGGCGAAAAGAACCCCGGCGAGGGGAGUGAAAAAGAACCUGAAACCGUGUACGUACAAGCAGUGGGAGCCCCACCACCAAAGCAUUUGCUGUACCGCGUUGACGGAGCGAAGCGACGUCAAA
rnacentral:rRNA from 1 species